UACGUAGGGACCAAGCGUUGUCCGGAAUCAUUGGGCGUAAAGGGUGCGUAGGCGGGUCUUUAAGUCAGGGGCGAAAUCCUGGAGCUCAACUCCAGAACUGCCUUUGAUACUGAAGAUCUUGAGUUCGGGAGAGGUGAGUGGAACUGCGAGUGUAGAGGUGAAAUUCGUAGAUAUUCGCAAGAACACCAGUGGCGAAGGCGGCUCACUGGCCCGAUACUGACGCUGAGGCACGAAAGCGUGGGGAGCAAACAGG
rnacentral:rRNA from 1 species